UCUUUACAUGGCUCUCUGUCAUUCAGGUU
rnacentral:piRNA from 1 species